rnacentral:RNase_P_RNA from 1 species
CGAGUGAGCCGGGCAGCCGCGGGAGAACGCCGAAAGGCGUCUCGUGAGGAAAGUCCGGGCUUCAUAGGGUAAGGAUAACGGGUAACGCCCGCCGAAGGCGACUUCAGGACAAGUGCAACAGAAAUAGACUACCCGACGGGUUUAUUCCGUCGGGAAAAGGUGGAAAGGUGAGGUAAAAGCUCACCCGCGGGUAUGGAAACACGCCCGCGCUGUAAACUCUAUCCGAAGCAACACCGUGACAUGGGGCUGUGUUAAAUCAUGCGGUUCACCCGACCGCUCCAUAGAGGUGGCUCAAGCCAAUCGGCAACGGUUGGCGUAGAUAGAUGGCUGCCCAUGCGCAGAUUUGUACUCUGCGCGGGACAGAAUCCGGCUUACAGGCUCGCUCGCAAC